rnacentral:rRNA from 1 species
GACGAACGCUGGCGGCGUGCUUAACACAUGCAAGUCGAACGGAAAGGCCCUGCUUGCAGGGUGCUCGAGUGGCGAACGGGUGAGUAACACGUGUGUGAUCUGCCCCUUACUUUGGGAUAAGCCUGGGAAACUGGGUCUAAUACUGGAUAGGACCAUGCUGUAGGUGGUGUGGUGGAAAGAUUAGUUUCGGUAAGGGAUGAGCUCGCGGCCUAUCAGCUUGUUGGUGGGGUAAUGGCCUACCAAGGCGUCGACGGGUAGCCGGCCUGAGAGGGUGGACGGCCACAUUGGGACUGAGAUACGGCCCAGACGCCUACGGGAGGCAGCAGUGGGGGAGAUUGCACAAUGGGCGCAAGCCGGAUGCAGCGACGCCGCGUGGGGGAUGACGACCUUCGGGUUGUAAACUCCUUUCAGCCAUGACGAAGCCCUUGUGGUGACGGUAGUGGUAGAAGAAGCACCGGCUAACUACGUG